rnacentral:rRNA from 1 species
GUGGGGAAUCUUGCGCAAUGGGCGAAAGCCUGACUCAGCCAUGCCGCGUGAAUGAUGAAGGUCUUAGGAUUGUAAAAUUCUUUCACCGGGGACGAUAAUGACGGUACCCGGAGAAGAAGCCCCGGCUAACUUCGUGCCAGCAGCCGCGGUAAUACGAAGGGGGCUAGCGUUGCUCGGAAUUACUGGGCGUAAAGGGCGCGUAGGCGGACAGUUUAGUCAGAGGUGAAAGCCCAGGGCUCAACCUUGGAAUUGCCUUUGAUGCUGGCUGUCUUGAGUACGGGAGAGGUGAGUGGAACUCCGAGUGUAGAGGUGAAAUUCGUAGAUAUUCGGAAGAACACCAGUGGCGAAGGCGACUCACUGGCCCGUUACUGACGCUGAGGCGCGAAAGCGUGGGGAGCAAACAGGAUUAGAAACCCGGGUAGUCC